UUAUAAAUAAAAUUAAUUAAUUAAAGAUUAAAUGGAAACAUUAAAUUUAAAUAUUUUGGCGGUAUUUUAAAUAGUUAGAGGAAUUUGUUAAUUAAAUGAUAUUCCACGAUUGGAGGGUCCUAAUAAAGUUUUUAUGUAUUGUUGUAAAAAAAUUAUUUUAUAAGAAUAAUAAUUGAUAAAUUUAAUUUAAUUUGAAUAUAAAUCAAAAUGUAGGAUUAUUAGGUAUAAAUGAAUUACAGUUUAAUUUAAUAUUGGAGUUAUUUUUUUAAUUAAAAUAGUGAAAUCGGAUUUAAUAGUAAAUUUAAAUAAAUUUUAAAUGAAA
rnacentral:rRNA from 1 species